UGUCACACGUGUUGAGUAAAGCUAAAGGUCUGCGAGAUUGACAUGAACAUUUGAAUUUCUAAAAAAUUGCAGAAAUUACUUCUUUGUUUGUGCUAGCAACAUCCUUCACUACAGAAUUCCAAACAACAUAGAGUUAAUAAGGUCGUCACUCAUGUUGUUGUGAAGCCAUCUAUUUGUCGCACAGACUAUGAAACUGACUAUGGUGACAAGUUCAUCUCCAAGGCAAUUUAAACAACAGGUAAUAACUCAUGUGAAGCCAUCUCUUUGUUGCACAAACUAUAAACAAGUUCAUCUCCAAAGGAAUUUGAAUAAAAGAUUGCUGUUCAUCGGACAUCAACUACCAGUACGUUUAUUUAUACAAGGAGUGUCUUAAAUAGUUUUCAAGAUCUGGUAAGACUCGAUUGCCAUAAGUAAAUGGUCAUUCAUUAUUAUCAGUAUUUUCCUGGUAGUACAGUAAACACAAACACGAGGUAACAGUGUCUUUGUACAUCAUUCUAUUCUUAAAAGUAAAGAGACAUGACUGAAAAGAAAAAAAAAUAUUUGAAAGUAUUGGGAAAAGUUCAUAUUCUGGAAACAUUACUGUUCACUGUACUACCUUAAUAAUAUUGACCUUUUUGGAUGGCUGGAAUAAGUUUAUCUCUAAAUGAAUUCUAUACGAUAAAAUUAGUGUUUAAAGAUGCUAUGUCAUAUUUUUGGCCGAUUUGACCAACAAAUUUUGAUUUAAAAUUCAAUAGGUUUUUU